UACGGAGGGUGCAAGCGUUAUCCGGAUUCACUGGGUUUAAAGGGUGCGUAGGCGGGCAGGUAAGUCCGUGGUGAAAUCUCUGAGCUUAACUCAGAAACUGCCAUGGAUACUAUUUGUCUUGAAUAUUGUGGAGGUAAGCGGAAUAUGUCAUGUAGCGGUGAAAUGCUUAGAUAUGACAUAGAACACCGAUAGCGAAGGCAGCUUGCUACACAAUCAUUGACACUGAGGCACGAAAGCGUGGGGAUCAAACAGG
rnacentral:rRNA from 1 species